rnacentral:rRNA from 1 species
CUCCUACGGGAGGCAGCAGUGGGGAAUAUUGGACAAUGGGCGGAAGCCUGAUGCAGCCAUGCCGCGUGUGUGAAGAAGGCCUUCGGGUUGUAAAGCACUUUCAGUCAGGAGGAAGGGGUGUGAGUUAAUACCUCAUAUCUGUGACGUUACUGACAGAAGAAGCACCGGCUAACUCCGUGCCAGCAGCCGCGGUAAUACGGGAGCCAGCAGCCGCGGUAAUA